GCUGGAAUGUUUCCCCUGCGAAAGACUGGCAGACUCAGGCUAGAGAGAGACACGGAGAAAGGACAGGGAUACGGGGACGGAAUCGCAAGCGUUUAGCGAGAAAACAGAAUCCGGGAAACUUAAUACCGUUGUUGAUGCGGCUCCACGAAGACUAAUAUCUCCAAAAAGCUUAUUUAAUCCGCACGGAAAGGAUUCUUUGAAUUGACACUGCUGCGCUAUAGGUUUCCAUAUUGCCAUGCUGGGUCUCUGCUGCAAGCCACAGCUGGACUUACAUCAGGCUGGAUACAAAUGACACUCAACUGUAGCAGCGGCAUGUGCCAGCUUCCUCGACAUGCCCCUUUGGCGCGGAUUCCACAGUGAGCGCUGCAUAGAAGAGGCCAAGAGAAGGAAGCUUUAAUUUGGGAGUGCCACAUCCCUCACCCCCCUACCCCCUC